GAUGAACGCUGGCGGCGUGCCUAAUACAUGCAAGUCGAGCGAAUGGAUUAAGAGCUUGCUCUUAUGAAGUUAGCGGCGGACGGGUGAGUAACACGUGGGUAACCUGCCCAUAAGACUGGGAUAACUCCGGGAAACCGGGGCUAAUACCGGAUAACAUUUUGAACCGCAUGGUUCGAAAUUGAAAGGCGGCUUCGGCUGUCACUUAUGGAUGGACCCGCAUCGCAUUAGCGAGUUGGUGAGGUAACGGCUCACCAAGGCAACGAUGCGUAGCCGACCUGAGAGGGUGAUCGGCCACACUGGGACUGGGACACGGCCCAGACUCCUACGGGAGGCAGCAGUAGGGAAUCUUCCGCAAUGGACGAAAGUCUGACGGAGCAACGCCGCGUGAGUGAUGAAGGCUUUCGGGUCGUAAAACUCUGUUGUUAGGGAAGAACAAGUGCUAGUUGAAUAAGCUGGCACCUUGACGGUACCUAACCAGAAAGCCACGGCUAACUACGUGCCAGCAGCCGCCGUAA
rnacentral:rRNA from 1 species